GGAGCUUGCUCUUCUUGGAUGAGUUGCGAACGGGUGAGUAACGCGUAGGUAACCUGCCUUGUAGCGGGGGAUAACUAUUGGAAACGAUAGCUAAUACCGCAUAACAAUGGGUGACACAUGUCAUUUAUUUGAAAGGGGCAAUUGCUCCACUACAAGAUGGACCUGCGUUGUAUUAGCUAGUAGGUGAGGUAACGGCUCACCUAGGCGACGAUACAUAGCCGACCUGAGAGGGUGAUCGGCCACACUGGGACUGAGACACGGCCCAGACUCCUACGGGAGGCAGCAGUAGGGAAUCUUCGGCAAUGGGGGCAACCCUGACCGAGCAACGCCGCGUGAGUGAAGAAGGUUUUCGGAUCGUAAAGACUCUGUUGUAAGUCAAGAACGAGUGUGAGAGUGGAAAGUUCACACUGUGACGGUAGCUUACCAGAAAGGGACGGCUAACUACGUGCCAGCAGCCGCGGUAAUACGUAGGUCCCGAGCGUUGUCCGGAUUUAUUGGGCGUAAAGCGAGCGCAGGCGGUUUGAUAAGUCUGAAGUUAAAGGCUGUGGCUCAACCAUAGUUCGCUUUGGAAACUGUCAAACUUGAGUGCAGAAGGGGAGAGUGGAAUUCCAUGUGUAGCGGUGAAAUGCGUAGAUAUAUGGAGGAACACCGGUGGCGAAAGCGGCUCUCUGGUCUGUAACUGACGCUGAGGCUCGAAAGCGUGGGGAGCGA
rnacentral:rRNA from 1 species